rnacentral:rRNA from 1 species
UACGGGGGGGAGCAAGCGUUGUUCGGAUUUACUGGGCGUAAAGGGCGCGUAGGCGGCGUGACAAGUCACUUGUGAAAUCCCCGGGCUCAACCUGGGAAUUGCAGUCGAGACUGUUCGGCUAGAGUGUGGGAGAGGGUGGUGGAAUUCCCGGUGUAGCGGUGAAAUGCGUAGAUAUCGGGAGGAACAUCAGUGGCGAAGGCGACCACCUGGCCCAACACUGACGCUGAGGUGCGAAAGCGUGGGUAGCAAACAGG